GGAGGCGAAUGUGUCCUGGUGGGCGCCCUGGACUUCAAAUCCAGUGGGAGGCGGUACAGGCCGUCUUCGGUGGGUUCGAUCCCUACACGCCUCCGCCA
rnacentral:tRNA from 1 species